rnacentral:rRNA from 1 species
AACGUAGGAGGCGAGCGUUAUCCGGAUUUACUGGGCGUAAAGCGCGCGUAGGCGGCACGGCAAGUUGGAUGUGAAAGCUCCCGGCUUAACUGGGAGAGGUCGUUCAAGACUGCCGAGCUAGAGGAUGUGAGAGGGAGAUGGAAUUCCGGGUGUAGUGGUGAAAUGCGUAGAUAUCCGGAGGAACACCAGUGGCGAAAGCGGUCUCCUGGCACAUAACUGACGCUCAUGUGCGAAAGCUAGGGUAGCAAAC